rnacentral:rRNA from 1 species
AUUGAACGCUGGCGGCAGGCUUAACACAUGCAAGUCGAGCGAGCGGCGGAGGGGUGAGUAAUGUCUGGAAAACUGCCUGAUGGCGGGGGAUAACUACUGGAACCGGUAGCAAAUACCGCAUACCAUCAGAUGUGCCCUGAUGGGAUUAGCUAGUAGGUGGGGUAAUGGCUCACCGAGGCGACGAUCCCUAGCUGGUCUGAGAGGAUGACCAGCCACACUGGAACUGAGACACGGUCCAGACUCCUACGGGAGGCAGCAGUAGGGAAUAUUGCACAAUGGGCGCAAGCCUGAUGCAGCCAUGCCGCGUGUGUGAAGAAGGCCUUCGGGUUGUAAAGCACUUUCAGCGAGGAGGCGUUACUCGCAGAAGAAGCACCGGCUAACUCCGUGCCAGCAGCCGCGGUAAUUC